ensembl:lncRNA
GAAUCAUCGGUGCUGAGAAAAAGAAGAAUGUUUAUUUCAUGCCGGCUAAGCAGUACGUUUGGAAAUUUUCUCUCAAACAACUUGUGAAGAACAACCUUGUUUUACUUAAGGACAGAGUAAUAAAGGAGGAGGAGCACACACAUGGCUUAGCAACUGCCCUCAGGUCACCUGACUGCUUCAGUCCUCCCAGUACUCUGAGUGGGCAGCAUCCCUAAGCCUGGAGAAGCUGAGCACUUACUGCUGGGACUUUCUUCUGAGGACGAAGUUGUGAGCAAAGGGAACCCACCUCAGCGUGAAACUGUGCCGUCCUAGUGAAGAGCUGGGUGGGCAAAGUGAGAAUGUUCUUCUCUUCCUCCUAAACACAUCCACUUGGUUUUGUUUUUUCUUCACCGAGGUUGUGGAACCUCUUAGUUGGGCUCUGGGGGUCACAGAAAGGUAUACUUACCUAUGGAUGAUCGCCAAAAUCACAAUUUCUCUGUGGGAAGAGGGCUAGACCCACCUGUUCUUCCAUCUUCCUGAUGUCACCAACUUCGAACUUUUAAGGUGAUUCAGAUAUUUUCUGAACAGAUUUUUAUGUUUGGUUUUUUUUUUUUUUUUUUCUGUGUGUGUGUCACUAGGCUUUUCAUGGCCCCAUGUUGCCUAGAAAAAUACUGACAUGUAUUUUGUGUGACUUGCUUCUUCAUCAUCAACUCUUUUGGAGAAACAGGUACUUAAUUUUACAUUAAAAUGAAAAUGCUAGUUCAUUCCAGCUUAAUACUUUUUUCACAAAAUAUGAAAAUAAGUCCAAAUAGUAAAUUACAUGAAUAGCAGGGAGUUAGACCAUACCAAAACAGCAGCAAGUUUCCCUAUAUUCCAUGGAAGCCUUGCUUAGCCUCUGUCAUGAAUUUUACACUCUUUAAUCAAUCAUUUCCCAUAUUUCCCACUAAUCUUACUCACUGUACCCUGUAAUUAAGGCUAUUCAUUUAAUUUUAAGUUUUUGGUCAUACUGUUUUUAAUUCCAAAAAAGAUAUUUGGUGUUUUUUUUUUAGUUUGUUUGCUUGCUCUGGAAAAGUAUCCGGUUUUCUGUAUCUUACAUAUUUUUAUAUAUAUCUUUCUAUAAUUGUUAUUUGAGAGACAGCUAGAAAUACAGAGUGAGAUAGAGAGAUUUCAAGAGACAGAAUUUUUAUCUGUUGGUUCAUUCCCUAAAUGCCUGCAAUGGCUGUGGCAUGGCCAGUCUAGUGCCAUGUGCUAAGGACUUAAUCUAGGUCUAUGAUGUGGUUGACAGGCACCUAAGUAUUUGGAUCAUCACCUGCUGCUUCAGUGGGGUUCAUGUUAACAGAAAACUAGAAUUGGGAGCCAGAGCUGAAACUCGAACUCAGGUACUCCAGUGUGCAAUGAGGGCAUCUUACUGAGCAUCUUAGUCACUAAGCCGAAUGCCUGACUCCUGCAGAUGUUUUAAACCUUAUUUGUUAUUUCUUUAAACAUAGUAAACAUCUGUGUUUGGUAACUUUAUAUAAAUACUUUCAUAGAUUUAUUGCGGCUGCUUGAUUCUGUAGAUUUAUGUUCAAAGUGGUGUGUGUACACUCAGUUAAUGUUUUGUUCAUUGGCUUUGGAAUUCUGUUAGUGAGUUUACAUAUGAAGGUGAAGAUAUUUCCACCAAAGACUAUGUGUAUUUAUUUCUGCUCAUUUGGGAAGCUUAAAAACUAAUUUCUCAAUUUUAGUUUUGCUUGCUUAGUUUUGCGCAUCACUCAUGUAAUGUGAAUUUGAGCAAUAAAUACCCAAGAGGCUGGCUUGUGGCUUCA